AUUGAACGCUGGCGGCAGGCCUAACACAUGCAAGUCGAACGAGUGGCGGACAGGUGAGUAAUGUCUGGGAAACUGCCCGAUGGAGGGGGAUAACUACUGGAAACGGUAGCUAAUACCGCAUACCAUCGGAUGUGCCCAGAUGGGAUUAGCUAGUUGGUGGGGUAAAGGCCUACCAAGGCGACGAUCCGUAACUGGUCUGAGAGGAUGAUCAGUCACACUGGAACUGAGACACGGUCCAGACUCCUACGGGAGGCAGCAGUGGGGAAUAUUGGACAAUGGGCGAAAGCCUGAUCCAGCCAUGCCGCGUGUGUGAAGAAGGCCUUCGGGUUGUAAAGCACUUUCAGCGGGGAGGCGUUACCCGCAGAAGAAGCACCGGCUAACUCCGUGCCAGCAGCCGCGGUAAUUC
rnacentral:rRNA from 1 species